rnacentral:lncRNA from 1 species
UGUUGCAGAUUGGAGAUUGACCUGCUGGAUAAGAGUAGUUAGUAAGCAAUGACACUUAGAAAAAGUGUUAUAUAGUUAGGCAAAUGAACCUGAAUUUUGCAGUGUAUUGGAUUGCAAGGCUUGAUGGAGACAUUGCAGUUUUGAAGAAGAACCUAGAGAAGAUAAACAUAACCAAAUCAAAUUCAUAGUGAAGAAGUAUGGGCUUUAAGCAGGUAAGACAUGGUAUAUUAAUUGAAAGUAAUACAACCCUUGCUCAUAUAUUGAACAGUCAAACAAAGAAAUGUUGCAGUGCAUCUAAAGAAAGAGAAAAUUUCAGGUAAUUAUGAUUUGUACACGCAAAAUUGGGAGACAUGAAUUGUCCAACAGUCUAGACAUCAUUAGAUGAAGUCACCCUUAUUCCCGACUAAAAUUCUUAAACAAUAGCAGAAAUGAAAUGGCAAUGCAAUAGCAUUAAAUCUACCCUUUUUCCAAUUAAAAAUAGUCUCAUCAUCAAUACAUAAAGGCAUCUUAGCCUGCAAUUAAUGAUCAAAAUUGCUGCCAGCUGAUAAAUUCUGAGCACUAAUGGAUUCUUCACAGCAUUUGUUAGGAUGGUUAUCCACCAAUCCUAACAGACAAACAAUCACACCGAAUAAUUAUCAUUCAUGCAGAUGAGAAUUGUGAUCGAUACUAAAUUUCAAUAAGUAAUUACAAUGAAUAAUAUUUGUACCUUCAUCAGGAGUAACUUGCAUGUCAGGGCAGAGCAAAAUCACAGCUUUGCUACAGAUGAUAACAUAGCACAUUUCACCCUCAACUUUUGAUUAUGAAUACCUUUUCGCGCAGCUACCUUAUCGCGAUUACUAUAAAUACUCAUCCUAUGAUAUAGUUAACUAUGCUUUGCUUUAUACAUUUAACAAUGAGUACAAGCACUUUAAUAUUACUGGCUAAAAGAACAAAGCUUAUAUCUAUGAGGCAC